rnacentral:lncRNA from 10 species
GAAAAUCUCAACUUUAUGGCCAUUGGUUUCACAGAUGGCAGUGUUACAUUGAACAAAGGAGACAUCACCCGGGACCGGCAUAGCAAGACCCAGAUUUUGCACAAGGGCAACUAUCCUGUAACUGGAUUGGCCUUUCGCCAAGCAGGAAAGACCACUCACUUGUUUGUUGUGACAACAGAGAACGUCCAGGUAUGACCAAGGCCUCCACUCUUAGGAGCAGGCAGGGAGGGCUUCUCCAUUGUUCAGGGGGAUAGGGUAAUGAAGUGACAGGAAAGGUGGGAGUGUUAAAGUUUUAAUCAUAUAAUUCGAAUCAUUUGCCUAGCUUUGUAUUUUAUUUUUUUGCCUAGGAAGCUGGAAAGAGUUAGACUCUGGGCUUGUAGUAAAAAGAUGUGAAUUUUCUUUCUUUUUUUUUUUUGAGACCGAGUCUCACUGUGUUGCUCAGGCUGGAGUGCAGUGGCGAGAUCUUGACUCACUGUAACCUCAGUCUCCCAGGUUCAAGCAAUUCUCCUGCCUCAGCCUCCUGAGUAGCUGGGAUUACAGGCACACACCAGCAUGUCCAGCUAAUUUUUGUAUUUU